rnacentral:SRP_RNA from 1 species
GCUGGGCGAGGUGGCAUGUGCCUGUAGUCCCAGCUACUUGGGAGGCUGAGGUGGAGGAUCGCUUGAGCCCAGGAAUUCUGGGCUGUAGUGAGCUAUGCCAAUCAGGUGUCCACAGUAAGUUUGGCAUCAAUAUAGUGACCACCCAGGAGCGGGGGACCACCCGGUUGCCUAAGGAGGAGUGAACCGGCCCAAGCUGGAAAUGGAGCAGGUCAAAAUUCCCAUGCUGAUCAGUAAUGGGAUCGCACCUGUCAAUAGCCACUGCACUCCAGCCUGGGCAACAUUUCAAGACACUGUCUCU